GACGAACGCUGGCGGCGUGCUUAAGACAUGCAAGUCGAACGAAGUUUAAGAGAGUUUACUUUUUUAUACUUAGUGGCGGACGGGUGAGUAACGCGUGAGCAAUCUACCUUUUGCUGGGGGAUAACAACUAGAAAUAGUUGCUAAUACCGCAUAAGACCACAAUACCGCAUGGUGUUGAGGUAAAAGAGUUAUGUAUCGGCAAUUGACGAGCUUGCGUCCCAUUAGUUUGUUGGUAAGGUAACGGCUUACCAAGGCUACGAUGGGUAGCCGACCUGAGAGGGUGAUCGGCCACACUGGAACUGAGAUACGGACCAGACUCCUACGGGAGGCAGCAGUCGGGAAUAUUGGGCAAUGGAGGCAACUCUGACCCAGCAACGCCGCGUGAAGGAUGAAGGCCCUAGGGUUGUAAACUUCUGUUGUAAGGGAAGAAAAAAAUGACGGUACCUUAUUAGAAAGCCCCGGCAAACUAUGUG
rnacentral:rRNA from 1 species